rnacentral:rRNA from 1 species
AUUGAACGCUGGCGGCAGGCCUAACACAUGCAAGUCGAACGAGUGGCGGACGGGUGAGUAAUGUCUGGGAAACUGCCCGAUGGAGGGGGAUAACUACUGGACACGGUAGCUAAUACCGCAUACCACAGGAUGUGCCCAGAUGGGAUUAGCUGGUAGGUGGGGUAACGGCUAACCUAGGCGACGAGCCCUAGCUGGUCUGAGAGGAUGACCAGCCAAGCUGGAACUGAGACACGGGCCAGACGCCUACGGUAGGCAGCAGUGGGGAAUAUUGCACAAUGGGCGCAAGCCUGAUGCAGCCAUGCCGCGUGUAUGAAGAAGGCCUUCGGGUUGUAAAGUACUUUCAGCGAGGAGGCGUUACUCGCAGAAGAAGCACCGGCUAACUCCGUGCCAGCAGCCGCGGUAAUUC